AGUAACACGUGGGAACCUAUCGUCAAGUGGGGGAUACCAGCGGGAAACCGCUGCUAAUACCGCAUGGGAUCCCAAGAGGAGACUUUUGGGAAGAAAGGCUCAGAGAUGAGUCGCUCGACGAGGGGCCCGCGGCCGAUUAGUUAGUUGGUGGGGUAACGGCCUACCAAGGCGACGAUCGGUAGCUGGUCUGAGAGGAUGGUCAGCCACACUGGGACUGAGACACGGCCCAG
rnacentral:rRNA from 1 species